GACAAUUACUGAUUGAUUUUUCCCAUUUUAGAAUUGAAACAAAAUAGAGAAGAGAGCACAGACACUGUACAAGGAUGUCAUGCAAAUGCACAAAGUGUUCUAUAUUUUU